rnacentral:rRNA from 1 species
UACGUAGGGAGCAAGCGUUGUCCGGAAUCAUUGGGCGUAAAGCGCGCGUAGGCGGCCCUGUAAGUCCGUUGUGAAAGUCAAAGGCUCAACCUUUGAAAGCCGAUGGAUACUGCAGGGCUAGAGUCCGGAAGAGGCGAGUGGAAUUCCUGGUGGUAGCGGUGGAAUGCGCAGAUAUCAGGAGGAACACCAAUAGCGAAGGCAGCUCCGCUGGGACG